AGCUUUCUGUAUUCGUGUUAAGAUUUCGUCGGCAAUCAACCUGUGGGCAUUGGCUGAUGAAACUCCCCAAAUAAGUGAAGUG
rnacentral:pre_miRNA from 1 species